UACGGAGGAUCCAAGCGUUAUCCGGAAUCAUUGGGUUUAAAGGGUCCGUAGGCGGUCUAAUAAGUCAGUGGUGAAAGCCCAUCGCUCAACGAUGGAACGGCCAUUGAUACUGUUAGACUUGAAUUAUUGGGAAGUAACUAGAAUAUGUAGUGUAGCGGUGAAAUGCUCAGAUAUUACAUGGAAUACCAAUUGCGAAGGCAGGUUACUAUCAAUAUAUUGACGCUGAUGGACGAAAGCGUGGGGAGCGAACAGG
rnacentral:rRNA from 1 species